GAGAAAAUCAUAUGUUCUCCUCUUUUAUUCCUCUCUGUUAAGGCUUUCCUCUAGCAAAAAAAUAAGUAGUUUGUUUAUUGAGGCAAGAAGAAUAUCAUUUUUUUAGUAGGGCCUAAUUGUGAAUUCUGAGAGUUUGAUAGCCAGUUAUAACGACAAAGCCAAGGGAUGUGAUCUACAAAUAUUAUAAAUGUGGUUACAGUAAUGUAAUACAUUUAUAGGAAGAAAC
rnacentral:misc_RNA from 1 species